GGGGUUGUAGCUCAGCUGGUAGUGUGUUUGCCUAGCAUGUGUGAGGCACUGAGUUCACUCCUCAGCACCUCA
rnacentral:tRNA from 1 species